rnacentral:rRNA from 1 species
GGGCCCGCACAAGCGGUGGAGCAUGUGGUUUAAUUCGAUGAUACGCGAGGAACCUUACCAGGGCUUAAAUGUAAGUUGCAUUAGUUAGAGAUAGCUAUUUCUUCGGACCACUUACAAGGUGCUGCAUGGUUGUCGUCAGCUCGUGCCGUGAGGUGUCAGGUUAAGUCCUAUAACGAGCGCAACCCCUGUUGUUAGUUGCCAGCGAGUCAUGUCGGGAACUCUAACAAGACUGCCGGUGCAAACCGUGAGGAAGGUGGGGAUGACGUCAAAUCAUCACGGCCCUUACGUCCUGGCUACACACGUGCUACAAUGGUAGGGACAACAGGUUGCCAACCCGCGAGGGUGAGCC